rnacentral:lncRNA from 1 species
GCGGUUCCGACCCACCCCGGCCCUCCGCGCCGCACCCGAGUGGCCCCCAGCCGAGCGGGCCCCCACCUCCUGGCCCGGCCUGGGCCCUUCUGCGCCUCCCUUGGCCUUUGUCCAGCGCCAGGAGGCCGGUCCCGCGCCCGCGUCGGGCGCCUGGCUCUGUACGCGAGCCCGGGGAUCUGCGGCCUUCGUGCCCCCCCUCCCCCGCCCGCCCUUUCGUGGAGCCCGGCGCAGGCGGCUGCUGCCCGGGCGGGGGGUUGCGGCGCUCAGGGGAGGCCCCGGCUCCGCCCCGGGCCUGCCCAGGGGGAGAGCGGAGCGGCCCGCAGCCGGGUCGGGUCGGGGCCCCUCCCGGGAGGAGCGUGGAGCGGCGGCGGCGGCAGUAGAAAUAAUGGAAGAAUUGCAUAGCCUGGACCCACGACGGCAGGAAUUAUUAGAGGCCAGGUUUACUGGAGUAGGUGUUAGUAAGGGACCACUUAAUAGUGAGUCUUCCAACCAGAGCUUGUGUAGCGUCAGAUCCUUGAGUGAUAAAGGAGUAGAGGGAAAGGCACUCCUAGGGGACAUAAAAUUAGUGAUUACUUUGAGUUUGCUGGGGGAAGCGGGCCAGGAACCAGCCCUGGCAGAAGUGUUCCACCAGUUGCACGAUCCUCACCGCAACAUUCCUUAUCCAAUCCCUUACCGGU